UGAGCCCUAUCAUUAUAGGAAAUUUUACUUGUCCAAUUACCUCUGAGAAAAUGGCUCAAAAUGCUUAUGCAUUUUCAAUUAUUUCUUCUCUUUGCCUCAUGUUUAUGUUCACGUUUGGGAAUGGCCAACUUGAUUAUAAAUUCUAUGAUAAUACUUGUCCCAACUUGACAAGGAUUAUCAGAAAUGGAGUCUGGUCUGCCAUAGCAAAUGAAACAAGGAUUGCUGCUUCUCUUUUGCGCUUGCACUUCCAUGACUGCUUUGUUCUUGGUUGUGAAGGAUCCAUUUUACUGGAUGAUACCAGCAACUUAAGGGGAGAGAAGAAUGCACUCCCCAAUCGGAAUUCUGUCCGUGGAUUUGAAGUUAUUGACCAAAUAAAAGCAGAUGUUGAGAAAGCUUGCCCAUCCACUGUUUCUUGUACUGAUAUAUUAACACUUGCCACCCGGGAUGCUGUCUUUCUGAGCGGAGGGCCUUUUUGGCCUGUCCCCUUGGGCCGUCGAGAUGGCCUAACUGCAAAUGAGACUGCUGCCAACACAGACCUCCCAUCGCCCUUUGAACCCUUGGAAAAUAUCACUUCAAAGUUUGUCGCCAAGGGCCUCAAUUUGAAAGAUGUCGUAAUUCUGUCUGGUGGUCACACAAUCGGCUUUGCUCAGUGUUUCACAUUCAAACAGAGACUUUUCAACUUCGAUGGGGCCGGCAAUCCUGAUCCAUUGCUAGAAACAUCCCUUUUAGACAGUCUGCGCGGCAUCUGUCCAAACCAAGACAACUCAGACACCAACCUAGCUCCCCUGGACGUGGCCACUGUAAGAAAGUUCGACAACAGCUAUUUCAAGAUGCUCGUCAACAACUCCGGGGUUCUACAGUCCGACCAAGUGCUGAUGACCGACAACACGACUGCUGCUUGCGUUUUGAACUACAGCAAAUCCCUUCCCCUCUUCCUGAAGGACUUCGCGGCAUCGAUGGUGAAGAUGAGCAAGAUCGGCGUCAUCACUGGACAAGAGGGACAGAUCAGGAGAAGUUGUAGGGCUGUGAAUUAGGAAGCAAUCAGUGAAAUUAUUUAAGUUUUUAUGAUUGCACGAAUGAAUGCUUGAAAUGUCGAUUGAAUAAGACCAUGUUUGUAUCACGAAAUUAUACAAGUUUUUAUGAUUCAUGGGAUUGGUGCAGUGCACGUGACACAGCGAAGGGCGGGUGAUUCUUGGCAGCUCCCGGGAUCCCAGCUCCUGAUUGUAUCUACGAUGGCCCGUGGGGUC